rnacentral:misc_RNA from 1 species
GGGAUUUACAAGCUGAACAAUUGCUCUACCUUGCAAAAAUGAACGAGAAAAUGGAUCACGUGAUCGCCUUGUUUGGGAAUAGUGAUGCAACCAAUGGAAAAGAAUUCCAUAAUAAGAUUGCAGCCAAUGGCAGCUCAUCAAAGCCUGAGACUGGGACUGAGAAUAAUAAGCCAUCCAGUCCUGCAUUUGAAAUGCGCUGGAAAAUGAGCAAGGAAAAAUGCUUAGAAAUUCGCUUUUGGUAGUUGCUUUUCCAAGUCUACAGGUCCAAUAAUGGGCUUAUGAUAGGUCCUGAUAUUUUUCUUUGUAGUUGUAGGUUCGCUUUUCUCGUCAAUGAAAGUGUAUAGAUAUCUGGGUAAUUCCACAAAUGUGGAUUACUGUGAAUCCUGGAA